UUAACCCUCCAAAUACCGGUAUUAAGGUGACUGCUUUUGAAGUACCUCAGAAGUACCACACCAGGUGUUCAAAAGGUCCGUGUCAAUGCAUUGAAUACUUAGCUGUGGUCGCGUGCAAUUGUCCACAGAAGAUCAGUUCCAACAGUUGGUCUGUUCUUGGCUCCGUGUCUCCCCAAUCCCACAUGUACUUGGAAGUCGAUGGGAUCCGGUCAGCCUGGCUGCUAUAGGUUCAGAUCACCUUGUCAGCAGGUAGGUAGAUUAGCCAGAAUGAAGGUUUACAUGUGCCUGCUUCUCCUGAUGGUCGUUGGAUGUGCCUUGUGUUUCACACAGACGGAGGCUUGCACAUCUAAUGCCCAAUGUCCAGGACGCUACGGGGUAUGUCAUCAAACA